UAAAGAUAAUCAUUCAUUCAUAGCCUCUUCUUUCUCCUUUGUUUAUUCUCCUUCCUAUUUCUACAACCUCAGAUCUACUAUCCAUGGCAAAAAUUUGUUGCUUUCCUUCAUUGAUUUCGCUCAGAUCUCGUUUUGAUCUACAUGUUGAUUGUUGUUUUGUAUCGAUUCAUCGUUCUUACGCCGUUGGAUAGCUGUUACUUUAGGCUAUGAAGCUCUGCUUAAGGUCUGGACUCGAUUCGCUUUCAAGGCCUCCUUUUCUUAUCUGGAGGCCUGGUUUUAGAUCCCAAGGGUUUUACUCUUCGAAACGUUGAUUUUCUUGGUUAUUCAUGUAGAUCUUGCCUAGAUCUAUAAACUUAGAGUAGAUCUUGAGGUGUAUCCCGCCAUGGAGGUACACGGUUGAUUCACUGGUCUUACAGCGGACGGUUUUCCUAUCAAAAGUCUUGCUGUUCUUCGUUAUGUGACGCUCAUGGAGCUGAUUUGACUCGGAUUUUCUAUCCAGAAAUGGUGGUUUAUCAAUUGUAAAGCGUUGUAUCAUCUUUUUUUGACGGCGAUACUGUACGGCCUGUAUUGGUGUUGUAUCAGCGAUAUUGAGAUAUGCAGGGGUAUGGGUUGAUUGGGGUUCUGGGUCUUUAGAAGGAUGUAUAAGAUAUCGGUACCGAAGGUCCUUGCGAGGUCUGAGAUCCGAUUCAUCUUUGUCAUCCGACCUUUGCCAUGACAGGUGCGCUUGCAUGGCAGGUCAAAUAUCUUAAUAAAAAAGAAUAAAUUUUUGGUUUAGGGGGGAGAUCGCACGGGGUAUUUGCCCGGGAUCUUCCCUCUCGUGUGUGCUGUGUCCUUCUCCUUUUUUUCUUUCUUAUUUUUGUUCACUCGCAAUAUCUUGCCCCACUUUACGCAUCGAGACGACUUGGAUGGAAGCAUGCAUCCUGAGAACGCCAAACCAAGGUAUAUUUUGCCCAAUUUACGUUUAUUCAUUUACAUAUUUUUAUUUAUAUAGCAGAAAAAACAAUUCUAGAGCGACAAGAAAAUAUUAAUCAUUAUAGACUCCAAAUCAUAAUAGACCUUAGACUCUAAAUCAUAAUAGACCUUAGACUCUAAAUCAUAAUAGACCAUAUAUAUUAAUAUCAGGCCAAAAUGAUGCUAAAAUUAUUUGGUUUAUUGAUUCUUAUUUUUUAACAAUUGUUUGUAGUUAUGCCAAUUGCUAUUUCUGGAGAUUGCUGAAAACAGUUCUUUCUUAAGGUAAAUAAGGUUUCAUUAAAUUAAGUAGUUAGUAGAAAUUCAUGAUUACCUAGCCCCGAUUUCAUACGAUACUAAAACACGGUUUCGUUACAAGAAUAAUAUAAAAGUAGUUGAUAUAUUAUCCAUAAAGAUGCACAGGUAAAUUUUCAGGAACCAUUAGGUCAUCAACUUUACUUUUUCAGCUCUUUCCUUUAUGUAAUCAACUAAUCAAGCCUGCAACUGCCCCAUAACCUAAUAUUAUUGAUCAAAUACUAAAUGACUUGAUGAAAUGCAUUUAUUAUCAAUUUCAGUUCAUUUUUUCUUCAAUUCAAGUUUGUUAUCUAGGUUUCUUUUAUCUGGAAGCUUUUGAAAGUUUUUUUAUGUAAUAUUUUGCAACGUGUAGUUGUACAUGCUGGUCCCUUGUAAAUUUUUUAGAUCUAUGGCUGCAAAGUCGAAGUUGUUCUAUAUGAAGCGGCCUACCCUUGUUUCAGCGAAGUUGAUUGAGCAGAGUUGGAAGUUUGUUUGCCGUUCUCCAUUUGAGGUGAUAAUCGAAUAGAUUUAAGUGGACGAGAUUAUUAUCCCAACCACGUGUUUAUUUAUAAUCAGAGUUUAUAUUACAAUAUAAAGUAUUUUAUUAGUUCAUAUUUUCAUUACUACUAUCAAGUGAAGUUAUACAGCAGAAUCAUCUUUAUUCA